GUGGGGAAUCUUAGACAAUGGGGGCAACCCUGAUCUAGCCAUGCCGCGUGAUCGAUGAAGGCCUUAGGGUUGUAAAGAUCUUUCAGCUGGGAAGAUAAUGACGGUACCAGCAGAAGAAGCCCCGGCUAACUCCGUGCCAGCAGCCGCGGUAAUACGGAGGGGGCUAGCGUUGUUCGGAAUUACUGGGCGUAAAGCGCACGUAGGCGGAUUGGAAAGUUGGGGGUGAAAUCCCGGGGCUCAACCCCGGAACUGCCUUCAAAACUCCCAGUCUUGAGGUCGAGAGAGGUGAGUGGAAUUCCGAGUGUAGAGGUGAAAUUCGGAGAUAUUCGGAGGAACACCAGUGGCGAAGGCGGCUCACUGGCUCGAUACUGACGCUGAGGUGCGAAAGCGUGGGGAGCAAACAGGAUUAGAUACCCCUGUAGUCC
rnacentral:rRNA from 1 species